ensembl:lncRNA
ACUACCUGCAGCAGCUAAACAUCUGCAUUUAGAAGGACCUGAGGAAGUGCUGGCUCUUCGAACAAUAAGACACGACCUUGUUCACCUGAGAGGUACCACCGUUUCCUUUGAGGUAUCAGCUCUGUCACACCUUAAUGUGAAACACCAGAUUCAGAAUGCUUUCACAGCUGCAGAUCUUAAUCUUGCUGAGCAGUCUUAUCCAGUUGACACGCUGAAGAGGAGAUAUGGACACCUCAGGGACAUUCCUUUACAAAGCUUCACCAAAGUACAGCCUCUGCUGCUCAUAGGAUCAGAUUAUCCGCAGCUGAUCACACCCAACUGCCCAAUUCGUAUGGGUCCGCUUGGUAGCCCUAUAGCAGUACACACGCUGCUUGGCUGGGCAGUUCAAGGACCAACAACCUUUUUCCAGCAACCCUCAAACAUAAGCUCAUGCCUUCACACCACAUUCCUUUCACCUACACAAGAGUUACGUCAACAUGUUGAGCGAUUGUGGCAGCUUGACAUACUGCCAUCAAGAAACGAAAAAGAAGUAGUCCGUUCCAAACAAGAUAAAGCUGCACUUGCCAUGUUGGAACAGAAAACGGUACAAGUUACAGUUGAUGGUGUGAAUCGCUACGCUACUCCACUGCUGCGAAAAGUGGAUGCACCCAAAUUUCAGGCAUCACCAAAUGCUGUCAUGGCUCUUUUAAGAGCCACAGAACGCCGCUUGAUUAAGGACCCUAACCUGGCAAAUGUGUAUAACAAGGAGAUACACAAACUUGAACAGGCUGGCUAUGCAGUCCGGAUAACCAGUGCAGAAGCAGCCAAUUCCACUGAGUCAUGGUUUGUUCCUCACCACAUUGUGCACCACAAUGGCAAAGUCCGUGUGGUGUUUAAUUGCUCUUUCACCCAUCUGCAGACAAACCUAAAUGACAAUCUACUGCCUGGUCCCGCCCUUGGUCCACCACUGCUGGGAGUCCUGCUCAGAUUCAGACAGUAUGCUGUCGCCAUAAGUGGAGACAUACGAGCCAUGUUUCACCAGAUCAGACUGCUACCUGAAGAUCAGCCACUGCUCCGCUUUCUUUGGAGGGACAUGGAAAGGGAGCGCACCCCUGACAUCUAUGAAUGGAGAGUAUUACCAUUUGGGACCACAUGUAGUCCAUGCUGCGCCACAUAUGCUCUCCAGAGGCAUGUCAGAGACAACACUGAGGGCAAUGAAGAGGUAGUUGAGUCUAUCCACCAGUCUUUCUAUGUGGACAACUGCUUACAGUCACUUCAGUGUCAGCAUCAGGCUAAGAAACUCAUUAACAAAAUGAGAACAUUGUUGACUACUGGUGGUUUUGACAUAAGGCAGUGGGCAAGCAAUGUUCCUGAUGUGAUUGCUCACCUACCCUCCGAAGCGAAAUCAGAGGGCUGUGAACUGUGGUUGUCAGCAAAUAAAAACUGAUCCGCAAGAGUCAGCGCUUGGAUUGAUGUGGCACUGUUCACAAGACACUUUCAGUUACAAACACAGACCUGUCUCUACAAAUGGUGAAACCUCAAUGAGAACUGUUUAUCGCAUCCUAGCAAGCCAGUAUGAUCCACUCGGAUACAUCAUCCCCUUUACUACAAGGGCCAAAAUUCUGGUUCAAACACUAUGGAAGAGGGUUGGAAGCUGGGAUGAACCUUUACCAGCUGACCUCCUUUCAGAAUGGCAAGCAUGGGAAGAAGAGCUUCCAAACCUACAGAGAAUAACAAUACCUAGGUGUUACACACCAGCAUGCAACAACAACUCCUCUACUCUCGAUAUACAUGUCUUCUGUGAUGCUUCAGAGAAAGCAUAUGGUUCUGUGGCAUAUUUACGGGUAGAAACGGAUGACUACAUCCAAGUUGCGUUCAUCAUGGCGAGGUCACGCGUGGCACCUAAGAAGCAACUCUCUGUGCCACGCCUUGAACUCUGUGCAGCAUUGUCUGGGGCUCAGCUUGCCAAAACACUGAACUCCGAACUUACUCUCAACAUCAGACAGACAGUUAUGUGGUCAGACUCAACCACCGUGUUACACUGGAUAAAGUCUGAGUCAUGCAACUACAAAGUGUUUGUAGGCACACGAAUUGCAGAGAUUCAAGACCUCGUUGGAUGUGAAAACUGGAACUAUGUGGAUUCAGACAACAACCCUGCUGACGAUAUAACCCGGGGUAAGACCCUCACAGAUCUGUCCCACACAUGCAGAUGGAACCAAGGUCCAGAAUUUUUGCAUCAGUCUCCAGACCACUGGCCAAUCCACCCCUCAGUGCCAGUUGAAGACUCAGACGAACUCCGCAAAUCCACAUUUUGCGGUAAUGUCUCAAUCAGUCAUACCUCUUUACCUAAUGUAGAUGACUGCAAAUCAUGGGACGACCUUAUCAUGACCACAUAUAAGUCUCUGCAUGGUGCUGCAGCACCCCCUAUGUCUGCCACAGAACGCAUAGAGACUGAAAUGGCUGUACUCAAACAUGCACAGACUGAAAGUUUUCCUGAUGAAGUGCAUGCCCUUCAAGCCAACAAACCUGUGCAUUCAAACAGUCGAUUAAGUUCCCUUGCUCCAACAUUAGACCCUGAUCUGGGCCUGAUUAGAGUUGGUGGUAGAUUACGCAAAGCUGCAACACUACCAGAGGAUGCACUUCACCCUAUUGUGCUGGCACCAGAACACCCCAUAACCAAACUGUUAAUCCAAGAUUUUGAUAACCGCCUGAUGCAUGCAGGUCCUGAAAGAGUCCUUGCUGAGUUAAGACGAACCUAUUGGGUUCUUAGAGGCCGUCAGAUGGUCAAAAAGCACCAGAGACAAUGUGCAGAAUGUAGGAAAUGGCGUGGCAAGCCUGUUAUACCUAGAAUGGCAGACAUACCAGCUUCUCGUCUGAGGAUUAAUCAGCCUCCAUUCUGGUCGACAGGGAUGGACUGUUUUGGUCCCUACAUGAUAAAAAUUGGCAGACGGCAAGAAAAGAGAUGGGGCAUAAUAUUUAAAUGUCUCACUACAAGGUGUGUACAUCUCGACUUGUUAUGCAGCAUGGAUGCAGAUUCCUUUUUAUUAGCCCUCAGACGCUUCAUAGCAAGAAGAGGAAAGCCCUUUGAACUUAUCUGCGACAGAGGCACCAACUUCAGAGGGGGAGAGCGUGAACUCUCUGAAGCUUUUGCGGAAAUGGAACCAUCCCUCCGAGAGCAGCUAGCCAACCAAAAAAUUUCCUUCAUAUUCAACCCACCUCACGCGCCUCACUUUGGAGGAGUAUGGGAGAGGGAAAUUAAAUCUGUCAAGGCUUCCCUCCAAGUUGUUCUGAAAGAUCAUACCUUCUCAGAGGAAGUCCUGAGUACAGUGUUGAUCGAGGUGGAGGGUAUCUUGAAUUCGAAGCCCUUGGGGUAUGUAUCAUCUGAUAUAGCGGAUCCGGACCCGAUUACCCCCAAUUUGCUGCUUAUGGGGCGGCGGGAUGCUUCCCUACCUCAGGCUGUCUAUGGACCCAGUAAUCUGCUUGGACGGCGUCGCUAUAGACACAGCCAAGUGAUCGCCGAUCACUUCUGGACCCAGUUCCUCAGAAACUACCUACCAAGUCUUCAGCUACGACAGAAGUGGCAGAAGAUCACACCAAACCUAGCAGUGGAUCAGGUUGUUUUGAUUGCAGAUUCCCAACUUCCCAGAGCCCAAUGGCCUGUCGGUAAGGUAACCAGAGUCCUACCAAGUGAUGAUGGUGCAAUCAGAGCUGCUGAAGUGGACAUUAAAGGCAACACAUACAUCCGCCCUGUGGCUAAACUGAUUGUGCUACCAGAGAUGCCUGAAGAUUAGUUUGUAGCACCAGUCGCUAAGCUGUACAUUUUGUGGAGUUACAAAUUUCCUGUGUAAAUUUGUGGGGCGGCUGUACAAAAUUCCCUGCCUCACGCAUGCGCGAGUCGAACUUGUCCAGACUUGUCUGGUGCAUGCGCAAAAAGUUUUCAGUUCGGCAGCAUCCAGCAUAGUAGUUUUAUACGGAGUUUCCCUGGCUUCAUUCCUUUAAAGUCUGUUUUUUCCUUUGUGUGGUAUUGCUGUGCGUUAAUAACUCCAAACCACAUUUGUGCAUAUUCACGCAAAUAAACAUUAAAACUGGACAUGUUCACUCUGGAGUAGCUGCAGUUCUUUCUAACCAGAGAAAUAGGCCAGCUGAGUUCCAACCAUCCAACUGCGCACAGAAUAUCCCACAU